rnacentral:lncRNA from 1 species
GAGAGAGAGAACGGAAUCAAGCGAAUGAGAGCGCAUGAGUGUGUGUGGAGAGAGAACGGAAUCAAGUGAAUGAGAGCGCGUGAGUGUGUGUGGAGAGAGAGAACAGAGUCAAGCGAAUGAGAGCGCAUGAGUGUGUGUGGAGAGAGAGAACGGAAUCAAGCGAAUGAGAGCGCGUGAGUGUGUGUGUGGAGAGAGAACGGAAUCAGGCGAAUGAGAGCGCGUGAGUGUGUGUGUGGAGAGAGAGAACAGAGUCAAGCGAAUGAGAGCGCGUGAGUGUGUAUGUGGAGAGAGAGAACGGAAUCAAGCGAAUGAGAGCGCGUCAGUGUGUGUGUGGAGAGAGAGAACGGAAUCAAGCGAAUGAGAGCGCGUGAGUGUGUGUGUGGAGAGAGAACAGAGUCAAGCGAAUGAGAGCGCGUGAGGG